rnacentral:tRNA from 1 species
ACCCAGCCGGCUCAGUCCGUGGAGCAUGGGACUCUUGAUCUCGGGGUCGUGAGUUUGAACCCCACGUUGAGUG